rnacentral:rRNA from 1 species
AUUGAACGCUGGCGGCAGGCCUAACACAUGCAAGUCGAGCGGAGCGGCGGACGGGCGAGUGAUGCCUAGGUAUCUGCCUGGUAGUGGGGGAUAACGUCAGGAAACGGGCGCUAUUACCGCAUCCUCUCAGAUGAGCAUAGGUCGGUCUAGCUAGUUGGUGGGGUAAGGGCCUACCAAGGCGACGAUCCGUAACUGGACUGAGAGGAUGAUUAGUCACGCGUGAACUAGGACACGGUCCAGACUCCUACGGGAGGCAGCAGUGGGGAAGAUUGGACAAUGGGCGAAAGCCUGAUCCAGCCAUGCCGCGUGUGUGAAGAAGGUCUUCGGAUUGUAAAGCACGUUAAGUUGGGAGGCGUUACCAACAGAAUAAGCACCGGCUAACUUCGUGCCAGCAGCCGCGGUAAUUC